AGUUCUGUAGUGUAGUGGUUAUCACGUUCGCUUUACACGCGAAAGGUCCCCGGUUCAAGCCCGGGCAGAACUA
rnacentral:tRNA from 1 species